rnacentral:rRNA from 1 species
UCAAUACUGCGGGGCUUGAGGACAGCAGAGGAAGGUGGAAUUCCCGGUGUAGUGGUGAAAUGCGUAGAUAUCGGGAGGAACACCCGUGGCGAAGGCGGCCUUCUGGGCUGUUCCUGACGCUGAAGGCGAAAGCUAGGGGAGCGAACGGGAUUAGAUACCCCGGUAGUCCUAGCUGUAAACGAUGGAUGCUGGGUGUGGGGGGUGUAAAUUCCCUCUGUGCCGAAGCAAACGCGUUAAGCAUCCCGCCUGGGGACUACGGCCGCAAGGCUAAAACUCAAACGAAUUGACGGGGUCCCGCACAAGCAGCGGAGCGUGUGGUUUAAUUCGAUGCUACACGAAGAACCUUACCUGGGUUUGACAUGCACGUGGUAGGGAACCGAAAGGGGACCGACCUUCGGGAGCGUGCACAGGUGCUGCAUGGCUGUCGUCAGCUCGUGCCGUGAGGUGUCGGGUUAAGUCCCGUAACGAGCGCAACCCUUGCCCUUAGUUACAAGUGUCUAAGGGGACUGCCCGGGACAACUGGGAGGAAGGUGGGGAUGACGUCAAGUCAGCAUGGCCUUUAUAUCCAGGGCUACACACACGCUACAAUGGCCGGUACAAUAGGUUGCGAAGUCGUGAGGCGGAGCCAAUCCUCAAAACCGGUCUCAGUUCGAAUUGCAGUCUGCAACUCGACUGCA